CGGCACGACGGCGGCACAGAGGUGGUGGCGGUCGGUAGACCUGCUUCGUCUUUGCGGUCCUCAGAAUCGGACAGCUGGUCAUCCGUUGACGAGGCGCCGAGGAGGUCUUCGGUUUUUACACGGCUGUCCUUCUCAUUCUUAAAACCAGUCUUUUGUGAAACAUUUGAACUCUCCGAUCCCGGCCUGGCCUCUUUCUGCGUACGUGGGUCCUCUCUGGGUAUUCCUCCCAAAGUCCAAAAAUAUGACUACCUUAUUAGUGGGAAACCCUUUUGAUCAUGCACUGAGGAGGAGCUUGUGGAAGAAGGCCGUAUUCGAUAGAUAGGUGACCUGUCCAGGGUGUACCUGUCCGUUGCUCCCAAUGACCGCUGGAGACGGGCAUCAGCCUCCAGGCAACCUUGCAUGGAUAACUGGGUAUAGAUGAACGAUGAUUCUAAUCACUGGAAAUCAUAUUGUAAUUUUAAGUUAUCCAACCAUUUGAAUACCUGUUGCAUUAAACAUAAUGAAAUUUUCCUCAUGCUUCUAUAUUUCAAAUUGGUUUCCUAAAAUAAUAAAGGUUUUAGAGAAACAAAAAGAUUAAGUACAACUACAUUUUUAUCUGGAGACAAAUUUGAAAAACAUAAAAUACUUAGUUAUAUUUGGUAAUCAAAAAGGAUCAAAGACAUUGCUCUGGAAGCAUAUUUGUUGCUCUGCUUUCAUCAGUGAGCCUUUGCAUCCUGUAAUCUUUGACCAAUGUCAGUGGGAUGAUGUACAGAAGCUAAAUCACAUUUAUUUGAUCAAAGACUGAAAUCUUUGCCUGUUUUAGCUCAACUCGUUUCAUGGUAAUGUAUGAUUCCUCUGAACAAACUAAUGCAUAAAGCUGUAGGAAUGAA